GUAGGGAAUAUUGGACAAUGGGCGAAAGCCUGAUCCAGCCAUGCCGCGUGUGUGAAGAAGGUCUUCGGAUUGUAAAGCACUUUAAGUUGGGAGGAAGGGCAGUAAGUUAAUACCUUGCUGUUUUGACGUUACCGACAGAAUAAGCACCGGCUAACUUCGUGCCAGCAGCCGCGGUAAUACGAAGGGUGCAAGCGUUAAUCGGAAUUACUGGGCGUAAAGCGCGCGUAGGUGGUUUUGUAAGUUGGAGGUGAAAUCCCCGGGCUCAACCUGGGAACUGCCUCCAAAACUGCAUGACUAGAGUACGGUAGAGGGUAGUGGAAUUUCCUGUGUAGCGGUGAAAUGCGUAGAUAUAGGAAGGAACACCAGUGGCGAAGGCGACUACCUGGACUGAUACUGACACUGAGGUGCGAAAGCGUGGGGAGCAAACAGGAUUAGAAACCCCAGUAGUCC
rnacentral:rRNA from 1 species